rnacentral:rRNA from 1 species
CCUACGGGUGGCAGCAGUGGGGAAUAUUGGACAAUGGGCGAAAGCCUGAUCCAGCCAUGCCGCGUGUGUGAAGAAGGCCUUCGGGUUGUAAAGCACUUUCAGUGGGGAAGAAAGCCUUGGGGCUAAUACCCUCGAGGAAGGACAUCACCCACAGAAGAAGCACCGGCUAACUCCGUGCCAGCAGCCGCGGUAAUACGGAGGGUGCGAGCGUUAAUCGGAAUUACUGGGCGUAAAGCGCGCGUAGGCGGUCUGAUAAGCCGGUUGUGAAAGCCCCGGGCUCAACCUGGGAACGGCAUCCGGAACUGUCAGGCUAGAGUGCAGGAGAGGAAGGUAGAAUUCACGGUGUAGCGGUGAAAUGCGUAGAGAUCGGGAGGAAUACCAGUGGCGAAGGCGGCCUUCUGGACUGACACUGACGCUGAGGUGCGAAAGCGUGGGUAGCAAACAGGAUUAGAUACCCUUGUAGUC